rnacentral:rRNA from 1 species
GGAAGGUGGGGAUGACGUCAAAUCAUCAUGCCCCUUAUGUCCUGGGCUACACACGUGCUACAAUGGCUGGUACAAAGAGUUGCAAUCCUGUGAAGGGGAGCUAAUCUCAAAAAACCAGUCUCAGUUCGGAUUGAAGUCUGCAACUCGACUUCAUGAAGCCGGAAUCACUAGUAAUCGCGAAUCAGCUAUGUCGCGGUGAAUACGUUCUCGGGUCUUGUACACACCGCCCGUCACACCAUGAGAGUUGGUAAUACC